ANGGCGAGCUGAUCAGCCAUGCCGCGUGUGUGAAGAAGGUCUUCGGAUUGUAAAGCACUUUAAGUUGGGAGGAAGGGCAGUAAGUUAAUACCUUGCUGUUUUGACGUUACCAACAGAAUAAGCACCGGCUAACUUCGUGCCAGCAGCCGCGGUAAAUG
rnacentral:rRNA from 1 species